rnacentral:lncRNA from 1 species
CCGAUAUUUGCAAAAUAACAAGUUGCUUGAUGGAAACUUUGAUGAACUCUUAUAUAUUACUAUAUAACUUUUCUGCUUCAAGAUUUGGUAGCUAAAACAUUCUUUAUGUAAAUAUGAACCAAUGAAAUAAUAAGAAAGAUAUAUGCAUGCAAACGUUUUCCUUAUAAUGGUGGAUCUCCGUGUAAAACGAUCCAAAUUGUCACACAACAGCGAUAAAAAAAAUGUCAAAUAAACAUAGAAAAAUCUAUGUUAGCUACCUGAAUUUUCACAUGUACCUCUGAUAUAUCUUACCUGUCGG